UACGUAGGUGGCAAGCGUUGUCCGGAUUUACUGGGCGUAAAGGGCGUGCAGGCGGUUUGUUAAGUGCAGGGUGAAAGCUCCCGGCUCAACUGGGAGAGGUCCUUGCAUACUGGCAGACUUGAGGGAGGCAGAGGAAAGUGGAAUUCCCGGUGUAGUGGUGAAAUGCGCAGAUAUCAGGAGGAACACCGGUGGCGAAGGCGGGUCUCUGGGCCGAUACUGACGCUGAGGAGCGAAAGCGUGGGGAGCGAACAGG
rnacentral:rRNA from 1 species